rnacentral:rRNA from 1 species
UACGUAGGGGGCAAGCGUUGUCCGGAUUUAUUGGGCGUAAAGCGCACGUAGGCGGCUUGUUAAGUCAGGGGUGAAAUCCUGGAGCUCAACUCCAGAACUGCCUUUGAUACUGGCGAGCUUGAGUCCGGGAGAGGUGAGUGGAACUGCGAGUGUAGAGGUGAAAUUCGUAGAUAUUCGCAAGAACACCAGUGGCGAAGGCGGCGACCUGGUCCGAUACUGACGCUGAGGCGCGAAAGCGUGGGGAGCAAACAGG